rnacentral:rRNA from 1 species
AGCAGCCGCGGUAAUUCCAGCUCCAAUAGCGUAUAUUAAAGUUGUUGCAGUUAAAAAGCUCGUAGUUGAAUUUCGGGGUUCAUACGUUGGUCGGGCUUUUUGGUCUGUACUAGCGUAAUGGAUUCCUACCUUCUGAAUAACCGGCAUGCCAUUAAUUUGGUGCGCCGGGGAAGCAGGACUGUUACCUUGAAAAAAUUAGAGUGCUUAAAGCAGGCUAUCGCCUGAAUACAUUAGCAUGGAAUAAUGAAAUAGGACGGCAUGGUUCUAUUUUGUUGGUUUCUAGGAUCACCGUAAUGAUUAAUAGGGAUAGUUGGGGGCAGUUAGUAUUCAAUUGUCAGAGGUGAAAUUCUUGGAUUUAUGAAGACUAACUUCUGCGAAAGCAUUUGCCAAGGAUGUUUUCAUUAAUCAAGAACGAAAGUUAGGGAUACGAAGACGAUCAGAUACCGUCGUAGUCUUAACCAAUAAACUAUAGACCGACUAGGGA